GAGUUUGAUCAUGGCUCAGAUUGAACGCUGGCGGCAGGCCUAACACAUGCAAGUCGAGCGGAUGACGGAGCUUGCUCCUUGAUUCAGCGGCGGACGGGUAAGUAAUGCCUAGGAAUCUGCCUGGUAGUGGGGGACAACGUUUCGAAGGAACGCUAAUACCGCAUACGUCCUACGGGAGAAAGCAGGGGACCUUCGGGCCUUGCGCUAGUCAGAUGAGCCUAGGUCGGAUUAGCUAGUUGGUGGGGUAAUGGCUCACCAAGGCGACGAUCCGUAACUGGUCUGAGAGGAUGAUCAGUCACACUGGAACUGAGACACGGUCCAGACUCCUACGGGAGGCA
rnacentral:rRNA from 1 species